GGGUGCGAUCAUACCAGCACUAAUGCACCGGAUCCCAUCAGAACUCCGAAGUUAAGCGUGCUUGGGCGAGAGUAGUAUUAGGAUGGGUGACCUCUUGGGAAGUCCUCGUGUUGCACCCC
rnacentral:rRNA from 1 species